AGCUCUGCUGAGCUCUCGUCUUUUCUUCCCUACCCGAUCCCCUGUUCCUGAUGCUCAUGAAGUAAUAAAAGUGAGGUGAGUGCCAUACUGUCCUUUCUUUCUUCUCUUAAUUUGUUGCAUGUAAGCGCACCCUCGACAUCGCCGCACCACCUGUCUAUCUUUGCCCUACAGUCCUCAUCAGUAUAAGCAGUCCAUCCACAUACAGUACAGUGCUAGCACUUCACCUUCCGUCACCUAUAUGUUACUUACAAUCUGUCGGGGUCUCAGAGACCCCGAAUGAUCAAGGGAACGAGACGGGGAAGUGCGCGGCAUUACUGUGUAAUUCCUGAGUUGUAGAGAGACAAAGUCAGCUACGAGCCAGGGAAUGAACAACAAUGCUGCACAUUCCUCCCGGCUCAUUCUCCUGAUCCAUGAGGGUCUCAGCACUGAGACCCCGACCAAUCAAAACUUUUAAAAAAAUCCCUGUAACAUGUCAAAAGUUUUUCUAAGUGACACUUUAAAGGGUACCUCUCAUUUGAGCCAGCUGGCAAGAUCUCUGGUACAAUCUGUUAAAGCUAGCAGUAUACGGUAUUGCCAAAUGUCCCAUAGACUUGUAAUGGAAGGAUCGGGCACUUGGAUUCAACUUGUCUGAUACUUCUCUUUCCCUACAUGAACUGUCGGAGGAGAGAAGGGUCAUGCAAAAUACAUUUCAAGAGGAGGGGAGGGAGCAACGUUUCCCAGCAUGCUCCAGGCAGCUCCCUCCCCCUCCCUUCUGUGCUGCAGAAUACUUGUGUAACCGGGGAGUGUUACACAAGAGAGAGAGGCUGCUGCAAGAGAUGCCUGACAGUCACCUCCUCGUCCUCCUCCAUCAUUCAGAACGCAUGUGUAUGGUGGGAUCAGAGGGUCAACUUGCAGCUUCUGGGCCUGAUGCAAAAUCUGCAACCGGGCCGCAUGUGACCAUUAUAAUAAUAGUCUCUUAUGGGGCAGAUGUGCUUUGGGGCCCCCUUAGGCACCAGGGCCCCAGUGCGACUGCUACCUCUGCACCCCAUAUAUCUACACCCCUUGGUGGGAUCAGGAAAGGAGGCAUCUUAUGCCCAUUCCUGAGGAGACCCCAUCAGAUUCAAGGUCUCCUGUUACCCGAUAGGACCCCCAGUGGUCUAUGGGUGGGAUAUGAUGGAGAAAGAGAUUUUAUAUCUUCUUCUUGCUGUAGAAUGUUCCCCUUCUGUAACAUAUUUUUUCUUCCUCAUCUUCAGCUUGCCGCUAUGUGGCUCGCAAAAUAGCCAGACACGGGGGAGGAGCGGAGGAGAAUGUGGUGGCCAACGAGUCCAUGAAGCCAACGUGUGCUCUGCGCCAAGGGCGCAAGAAGAACACCGCAGUGAAGUCCCAACCACCUGCCGGUUUCAUCCCGCUAACUUCUGACAUGACAGAAGACGGCCCGAGUGCCUCCACGUCACCACCCAAUGACCUAGCUCCACAAUAAUACCCCCCUUCCCCAAGCCAGGAAGCAGGAAGAGAUGUAGGUUUCCAGAGGUUUAUAUCCCCGACACAGCAGAAAAUGAUCCUCCGCUCUACAGCCCCUGUGUACAGAGGUGGGGAGGAGGUGAGAAGGCCCGCUGCUGUGUAACCGAAUAAAGAUCUGUGACCUAUG